rnacentral:misc_RNA from 1 species
ACAUCCUACGCUCAAGCUCAUCAACAUCAAUCUCCUCAUCGCUAUAAUCGUCCUCCACCGUAGGCUCUGGCUCAGCUUGUGGAGCAGCCCCAUCUUCCCCAAGAGGAGCAGAAAAGAAAUCCAUGUCACCACAAAAUCCCAUCUCAUCAAACAUCAUCAUCUUUAACCUGUAGGGAUAUCAAGCGGCCCUGAACCCUCAAACUUCAACGCCUCAAUCAGUCUUAUCGCAUCGCCCGUAUUUUCAAACCUGGAAAUCUAAGGGACUUUUCCUUUCCUAAGGCAGAGAUUCCAGGUCAAUCCUGCAAAACAGACUUUUCUUUCUACGGCUCGAGAGAGAGAGAGGGAGAGAGAGAGAGGA